rnacentral:lncRNA from 1 species
GGGAUUUUAGCAUGAUUAUCAUGUAAAAGAGAAGAUACUCACACUGAUAGACAAUUGGCAAGAAGUUUUUGGUGGUGCACGUGCAAGAUAUCCUCAAUACUUUGCAGCAUACCAGGAGCUCUUGGUAUUAUUCUAUACACAUCAAACAUAUUGUCAUAUUUUAUUCAUAUCUCAUUGUUAGAAACUCAUUUUCCCAAUGACCAUUGUCUACAAUGUUUCGAUAAGUCAGUUGCAGAUUAAGUGACAUUUCAUUAAGCAUUCAAUUUUCACAAUCAUUAAGCAUGAAAGAACAUGGUUAUGUUCCCUAAUAAACAUUCAGUGUUGAAUGUGAAUCUUUUGUAUAACUGAUUGAAUAAUGUUUCUCCAACCUACAUAUGCUAGCGCACUGGAGCUGUAUUUCCUCAAAGAUCAAAUGGUUCUGUGCCCAUCAUUACUCCUCCUCAGACUCAGCCUCUACAAAACUAUCCCCCUCCUUUAAGCAUUUCUCAGCAGGAG